UAUGUUGGAAUCUUAAAGAGAAAUUGACCGGAAGGGCACCACCUACGGUGAGCAUGUGAGCCGUGGGGCUUAAUUUGUACUCAACACGGGAAAAUCUCACCAGGCCCGGACACCGGAAGGAAUGACAGAUUGGAGAGCUCUUUCUUGAUUCGGUGGGUGGUGGUGCAUGGCCGUUCUUAGUUGGUGGAGCGAUUUGUCUGGUUAAUUCCGAUAACGAACGAGACUCUGGCCUAUUAACUAGACGUUAGAUCCUUUUAUGGGUUUGACGAUGCUUCUUAGAGGGACGGGCGGCUUUUAGCCGCACGAGAAUGAGCAAUAACAGGUCUGUGAUGCCCUUAGAUGUUCUGGGCUGCACGCGCGCUACACUGAAGAAAUCAGCGUGUGCUCCCUAUCCGAAAGGAUUGGGAAAUCCGUUGAACCUUCUUCGUGAUGGGGAUUGGGGAUUGCAAUUAUUCCCCAUGAACGAGGAAUUCCCAGUAGGCGCGAGUCAUAAGCUUGCGUCGAUUACGUCCCUGCCCUUUGUACACACCGCCCGUCGCUACUACCGAUCGAGUGAUUUAGUGAGGACUUCGGACUGGUCUUCGAUGUGGCUUUACGGUCGUGUCGUUGUGCCGGAAAGAUGCCCAAACUUGAUAACUUAGAGGAAGUAAAAGUCGUAACAAGAGUUUUCCGUAGGUGAAACCUGCGGAAGGAUCAA
rnacentral:rRNA from 1 species